UUCCAUUACGAUUUCACUACGAUGUUUGACAAGAAGGAGCAGUGCGCGAGAUAUGCUAAUGAGCAGACUUCCCUCGCUUGAGUUUCUGAAGAAUGUUCCAUAUCGCGCUACACUGCUGAUUAUAUAUGACAGGCGUGCAACGGCACACAUCCACAGAGCACUCUUCAAAUCAUCUACACAGUGGUUAUCCAACUAGGAUUAUAAAGGCACACAUUGACAUAGACCACUGUUGCAAUCAACGACACAGUCGCUAUCCAAGUAGCAUUAUAGAGGUAAUUAUCAUUAUCAUUCAUACCUCAUUAGCAUGUGAACCAAUCGCGUCGCGUCCUUUGCGAUCACGGCAAAGCCUCAUGGAAUA